UACGUAGGCGGCAAGCGUUGUUCGGAGUUACUGGGCGUAAAGGGUGCGUAGGCGGCUUUUUAAGUUUGGUGUGAAAUCUCCCGGCUCAACUGGGAGGGUGCGCCGAAUACUGAGAGGCUAGAGUGUGGGAGAGGAAAGUGGAAUUCCUGGUGUAGCGGUGAAAUGCGUAGAUAUCAGGAGGAACACCGGUGGUGUAAACGGCUUUCUGGACCAUAACUGACGCUGAGGCACGAAAGCGUGGGUAGCAAACAGG
rnacentral:rRNA from 1 species